UACGUAGGGUGCAAGCGUUAAUCGGAAUUACUGGGCGUAAAGCGUGCGCAGGCGGUUCGGAAAGAAAGAUGUGAAGUCCCAGGGCUUAACCUUGGAACUGCAUUUUUAACUGCCGGGCUAGAGUAUGUCAGAGGGGGGUAGAAUUCCACGUGUAGCAGUGAAAUGCGUAGAGAUGUGGAGGAAUACCGAUGGCGAAGGCAGCCCCCUGGGAUAAUACUGACGCUCAUGCACGAAAGCGUGGGGAGCAAACAGG
rnacentral:rRNA from 1 species